GGAGCCGGGGGUCAGGGUAUUUAAUUUAAUGUUUUUAUUGAGCAGUUUAGUAAUUGAAUAUUCAUGGUUAAACAGGCAUCAGAGGCCAAACUGAACCACAGGAGGGACCUUCAAGAGGUCCAGCUAGCUCGGACCAGCAGCAGUCGAGUGUGCAGGAAUCCACCACCAGGCCUUCUCCUAGCUCCCACGCUACUUCCAAGCUGUAGGAUUUCUUGUAACCUACUUAAAUUCUUGUAAACAAUUAGUAACUGCUCUGAUAUCUGGUUGGAUUAGAUAACCAGAACUGGUGAAUA